rnacentral:rRNA from 1 species
GACGAACGCUGGCGGCGUGCUUAACACAUGCAAGUCGAGCGGGUAAGGCCCUUUCGGGGGUACACGAGCGGCGAACGGGUGAGUAACACGUGGGUGACCUGCCCUCAGCUCUGGGAUAAGCCUGGGAAACCGGGUCUAAUACUGGAUAUGACUCCAUGACGCAUGUUGUGGGGUGGAAAGCCUUGUGCGGCUGAGGAUGGGCCCGCGGCCUAUCAGCUUGUUGGUGGGGUGANGGGCCUACCAAGGCGACGACGGGUAGCCGGCCUGAGAGGGCGACCGGCCACACUGGGACUGAGACACGGCCCAGACUCCUACGGGAGGCAGCAGUGGGGAAUCUUGCGCAAUGGGCGAAAGCCUGACGCAGCGACGCCGCGUGA